GCGAUUACUAUAAUUGCCUGCUACACUGAUUUCUGGGAUCACUGGUUUAAAAGUACCAUUACGUUUGCCUGAUCACUGGUUAGCAUGAAACAGAAACACCGCAAAUUCACUGCCUCAGGUCAAUGAUCAGGAUGAAUGUCCUGAAGUGGUGUCCUGACAGGGCCAAGGGAGAGGGGGAGCAAAGAAGAAGACAGUUUGGUAGACAGUUCCAGUGAAUUUCUAACUGAACGGGGAGAAGAGGAAUGUGCAUUUGGUACCAAGGGAGUAUGGAAUGGAGGGAAUGGUGCAGGAACAC